rnacentral:lncRNA from 1 species
CAAAUAAAACCACUAAAAGGGGACCACAAUUCAUGAGAGAGAGAGAGAGCCCGACGGGGACUUCUUUUCGAAAAAUAUCAAAUCAGUUGGAGCUAUAAAAAUAAUUUUAAAAACAUAUGAAAGCUGUAUUUGAUCUUAUGCUUUGUAUAUUUAUUGAACCGAAAUACAUUUUUUUUGUCUUUUUGUUAUUUCAAAAUUUCAAAUGUUAUUAUUAUACCUUUCACUGCACGUAAUAAUUUUUGAAAAAAAUUAUAUUUUUUGAAUCUAUUUAUUGAGAUUUAUCAAAAACAAAUCAAUAUUAAGUAGUUUAUUGAGAAUUUUCACAUAUUGAAAUAUAAAUUUUUAUAGUGUGAAGAUUAUGAGAUCUUUUGUAAAAAUUCUUAGUGACAGUGGUAGCAGCCGCAAUAGGUGAUUGAUUGUGGAGUUGGGUGAUUGUGGUGAUUGGUAGUCACUAGUGGUGAUUUGUGACGACAAUGGGUGAUGAUUUUGGGUGUUUAGCGGUAGUUGUGUUGAUUGGAAGUGGUGAUAAUGAUGGUUGUGGAUUAUGAAAAUUCACAAUUGUGUAUCAGAAAAAAUCAUAGUGUUGGAUGAAAAUUCUCAGUAGCUAUGAUAGCGAUCGUGUUUUGUGUUGGUGCUAGGCGACGAUGGUGGUUGGUGGCUAUUGUAGACUGUAAAAUUCACAUCCUUGCACUAUAAAAUCAUAGUCCCAUACUGUAAAAGUUCUUAAUUUCAAUGAAGGCCAGGGUGACAGAGGUAGAGGCAAAUGGUGGUUGUGGGGGGUGUUCGUGGUGGUUCCUUAGGAAGGGGGAUUGGAGACUGUGAAAUUUUACAAUCCUACACAAUAAAAAUUUACAAUCCCAUACCCCAUACGUGAAAUCCGAGUAAUGGUGUCUACAAGAGAUUUUUGCUGGAGUGAUUGACCGGUAUUGCGAAAGCAAUUUGUUAUUUAUGGUGGUUGGCGAUGGCAGUGAAGAACUAUUGUUUUGUAGAUAUAUUGGGUAGUGGCAGCAGCAACAACGAUUAAUGGUGAUUGGUAGGGAUGGUGGAGGUGGGUUUGUUGGAAGUAGAGAUUGGUGUUGGGCGGCAACGACGACGAUGGUGGGGUGGGGUGGUUGACAGCGGUGGGUGGUAGUUAUGGUGGUUAGCGGUGGUGACGGUGGCAACGGUGGUAGUAGUUGUGGUGGUUGCUAACAAUGGUAGUGAUGGAUGGUGGUGGGUGAUUGUUUAUAGUAGUGGUUAGUGGCGACAAUGAUAGGUGUUGGGGGUGAUAGUGGUUGCCAAUUAACAGCGAUGGUAGGUAGUGUUAGUGGUAGUUGGUGGUUAAUGUUGGGGUGCGUAGGGGCCAUAUGGUGAUGAGCGAUGGAUAGUAGAUAGUGGUAAUUGGAGUACGAAAAUCACUAACCAUUUUAUAUUUAUGAGAUUAUUUUAAAUACUUUUAUGUGAUUGAAAUUAUUUUUUUCAAACUGCUGAUAUGAUAUUAGUGUUACUUACCACUAACAUUAAAUAUUUUCAUUGAUAAACGGACGAGUCAUGAUGACUAUAAGACUGUUGACCGUGGGCUUCGAGAAGGAUAUUUGCAGAUAAAAUUAAUGAUACAAUUUAAUUAGUUAAAAUUUUAUGAGUCAAGAGCUGCGUAGGUAUGAGUUUAAAAAGUAGGACUGACCUAGAAGAACCCGUUAAAGAUUUACGAAAAAUUUUGUAAAAAAAAAAAGAUUAAAUCUAAACCGUUGGAUUCAAUCUAUUUUCAGAGUUGUAGAAAAUAGGUUAUUGUGAACAACAAUUAAGCUCCACUUGGGAUUAGAGAAAUUUGAGACGUGUCUAGGGAUGGAUAGGAUUCUUUUAUUUAUUUAUGUGCAACCCACUUUACUUGUUUUGGGCAUGAAGAAAUAAAAUUGGAGGGGCUUCUAAGAAAAGACCACACAGCCACUCCAACAUAUUCGAUUCGCUGACUGUGUUUUCCGCAAGGCCGUUUGGCUACCGAAUGUGGAGUGGGGAUAAUUUUUUUUCCCGAAUAAUUUUUUCCUCCUGGCGUUUGGCUGGCGGAUAUGAAAGCGGAUAAUUAUGCUCCCGAAUAAUUUAUGCCACGGAGGUGGAUAAAGACGGAUAAUUUUUGAGUGACCUAAACCCUCCGUGGCAUAAAGACGGAUAAUUUUUGAGUGACCUAAACCCUAACUAAAAGUUAUACGGGGUAUAAAGGGUUAGGAUAGAAAAAAAUAUAUAAACAGAAAUAAAUGUAUAAUUUUUUUAAUAUAAAUAGAAAUAAUAUCUAUUUUUAAUAACUAAAUAUUUUCUAUUUUGUUUUCUGUCUAUAUAUUUUUUAUCCUUAAUCCUCCACCCUUAUCUACCCAUUCUAAAAAGUAUCCAAUAAAUUAAAAAGUUAUCUCCUCCAAAAGUUAUCCCACUAAAUUUAUCCCCUCUAAUUAUCCCCCCCAUAUCCCUCCAGCCAACCUAAGCCCUGAUGAUCUUAGAAUAGCAAUUUCAGUGGGCCAACACCGCCGCG